CAGGGCCUGCUUUCCAAGGUGGCUUCGGAAAAUUGUGUGGCAGAAAGGCAGUGUGGACUCCUUCCUGUCAGCAUCUCUGAGUUGUGGGAGACACCACUGAAGUCUGAUCCCAAGGAGCCUGCCAAGCCCUGUGCACCGAGGCCAUUGUGAUGUCCUCAUGGACAGAGGUAGGAACAGCUACAGAGGGGCCCAGAGACUCACUGAGCA